UACGUAGGGUGCGAGCGUUAAUCGGAAUACUGGGCGUAAAGCGUGCGCAGGCGGCGGCUCAAGUCAGGUGUGAAAUCCCCAGGCUCAACCUGGGAACUGCAUUUGUGACUGCAUGGCUGGAGUGCGGCAGAGGGGGAUGGAAUUCCGCGUGUAGCAGUGAAAUGCGUAGAUAUGCGGAGGAACACCGAUGGCGAAGGCAAUCCCCUGGGCCUGCACUGACGCUCAUGCACGAAGCGUGGGAGCAACAGG
rnacentral:rRNA from 1 species